rnacentral:misc_RNA from 1 species
UUUUAAUCUUGUUUUUCAGAAUUCCUUACAAAUAUUUUGAGCUCUAACAAUGGAAAAUGUCACCAGGUCAACGGUUUUCUGGAGUCUGAAAUCCCGGUGUUCCCAGUGAAUUUCUGAACUCAGCUUCAAGGAACCUUUUUUAGAAGUUUAGUUCAUCGCGGUCGAGAGAGAUGCCGGAUGAGAAGAAAAAGGUGUUUAUAGUGCAGCCGACCUCUAACGGCAGGUUUACCGUUAUACCACACAAUACAGAGGAGGAACCAAAAUACCCUGUUGGAGAAUAUAUAGCUGUAUUCUGGCGAACAUGGUUGGUUGUGUUAGCUCCGUUUAUACUCAGUCCUAUCAUUCUAACAAGCUAUGGGGAUCCAGAGACGGACGAGGCGAUGAAGUGCGCCUAUGUGAUUCUGUUGAUGGCAACCUACUGGAUGACGGAGGCAUUACCCUUACCCAUCACAUCAAUGAUACCAGUGGUAGCUCUACCCCUGCUAGGGUUGAUGUCUACUGGAGAAGUAGCAAUCAACUACCUGAACUCGACGAACUACAUGUUCCUGGGUGGCCUCAUAAUGGCUAUAGCCGUAGAGCAUAGUGGACUUCAUAACAGAGUAGCUCUGAGGAUAAUUAUGAGGGUUGGAACAAGCCAGGCUAGAUUAAUGCUUGGGUUCAUGUUGACCACAAUGUUCUUGUCCAUGUGGAUCUCAAACACUGCCACCACGGCCAUGAUGCUUCCCAUCGUCGAUGCUGUCGCAGAGGCGAUCAAUACAAAGGCAGAGAAGGAGGAUAAAUCUCCAAGGGAGGAUGGGGAUAAGGAAUCCAACCAUGCCUCCGAAGAGGAGGAUGAGUUUAAUGAUGAUGAUUAUGAUCUUCCUUUCAACCAGAGAACGUUUACAUCAAUUAACCAGUUAUCCAUGAAUCAACGAACUCUUCAAUCUCUUCAAAACCAGAUGACCGUGACCUCCAUAAACUCGUUGAAUCCUGCAAAUGACCCUGACAGUAUGGUCGCCUUUCUACCAAAUGUUCGCAGAAAUACAAUGGAAAGAAUGCCUUCCACUGAAGAUCAAAGGACAAGGUUCCGCCGAAGAAAUGACAUGGAACGACAAAGAAAAAAUUCAAGAUUGGAAAGCAUUUCUCUUCUUUCAAAGGAAGAAAUAAAGGAGUUGCAGGAAGGUCAGGAGAAUGGAAGUCACGUAAUUCAAGUUACUGUUAACGAGGAAGCCUUGGAUUCUAAGGAAGAAACUGAACGAAACUUCUUACUGAUGGGGAUAGCUUACGCUGCUAAUAUCGGCGGUACCGGGGUUAUUACAGGAUCCCCUCCUAAUCUUGUAGUACCUGAUACACUCAACCAGAAGUUUGGUCCGAAUACAGGAUUAACAUUUGCAUCUUGGAUGGCGUUCAGUAUACCGAUCAUGCUAAUAAAUACAAUACUGGCUUGGUUGUGGCUUCAAAGAGUACAAAAAUGGUAUUUGAAGGGAAAGGAUGCCGGCAGAACAAAGGAGCAGGAGGAUCGAGCAAUGGACGUUAUAACGAAAAAGUACAAACAGCUUGGCAAGAUGUCUCUUCAUGAAUUUCAGGUUUUUAUUCUGUUCCUGAUACUACUAAUCUUAUGGUUCUUCCAGAGUCCAAAAUUUAUGACUGGUUGGGGAGAUCUUUUCAGAGUGAAGACAGCUAAAGGAAGCAAGGUUUCUGUGGGAGCAGCUACACCUGCAAUACUCAUGGCGAUAUUCUUAUUCAUUCUUCCACAGAAUUAUGAAUUCUGGCCAUUUGCUCCGAUGAACCGCAGCCUCCAGAACUCCCCCAGCCUCAUAACCUGGAGGCUGAUAGAGACCAAGAUGUGCUGGGGAGUGAUCUUCCUUCUUGGCGGAGGAUUCGCCCUGGCCUCCGCCUCACAGAGCUCUGGUCUCUCCGCACUGCUGGUGCAUCAACUAGAGAAACUAAACCUGUCUUCUCUACCAAACUGGCUGACGAUAACCAUAAUCUGCUUUCUGACGGUAACGAUCACGAACGUUGCUUCUAACACCGCGACCGCCAACGUCUUGGUUCCAAUAUUAGCGGAGAUGGCGGUAACGAUGUGCAUCAACCCGAUCUAUAUGACACUACCCGCCGGAAUCGUUUGCUCUUACGCGUUUGCGCUUCCCGUCGCCACUGCUCCCAACGCAAUUGUAUUUGGACACAGCACAAUGAAGACAAUGGAUAUGAUGAAGGCUGGAUUCUUUAUGAACCUAGUCUGCGUCUUAACCAUCUCCUUCGCCAUCAAUACUUACGCAAUUCCACUCUUUGCCCUUGACGCAUUUCCAGACUGGGCCAGUGCAAGGCUGGCAAACGCAUCAAUGUGUAGCAGCGGAACUGGAAAUCUCACUUCUCUCUAAAAAAAAAUGACAAUAUGUCGUCUUUUCUCUAGAAAAUGUACAAUAUAUGUCAUAUGAUCGUUACUUGUCAAAUUAUAUUUACAUACACGGCAAAAGUCUAAAACAUAAAAACUGAACAAAUGAGUAAUAAGAGUUUUAUGUUUUUUGACAUACCUUGUAUAUCAGUUUUAUGCUUCUUAGCAUGUCAUUUUUGGACUUGACAACUGAUCUAAUGUAUAUCUGUAACCGUUACCAGACUUGAAAGGGAGACAAUAGAUACCUUAAAAAACGCCAACUUUAAAGGUGACCUUGCCACAUAAAAAUUGUUGUCACUCCCUUUAAAGAGAUGUUUAAAUCUUGCUAAAUAAAUAACCCCGGUUUUCUUAAACCCAACCCGGUUAUCAUAUAUAUUAAUAUAUAUAUAUAUACGAUUAUGUAGUUACCAUUAUAGAUAUUAUUUAUAAUAUGCUCAAUAUUAUUCAGAAAACUACCGGUUGUUGUUGUACUCUUUAAACCCUCCAAAUGUGUACAGUGUACAAUUUGUACAUAUAAAACACCGCGUGCAAUACGCAAUUACAAUUACUUUCAAUAACUUGUACAUAUGUGUACACACAAGCUUUUUAUGAAACAACACCUGUUAUUAUGUACUGAAGUUGUGAAUUGUAUGUAUUACCGGUGAUUUGAUCUUAGUUAAGGAUCUGUUCGAAAAUGUCUGUUUUUGCAUUUUUAAAAUAGUUUUUCUAAUUUUGAUGAUUUAUCGUUAACAUAGGUUAACAUUAUACCAGGUUCAAUUCUCGGGUAUUUUAAAUGUGAUUUUAAUUGCAAAAUUAUGAUUGAUAUUUCCCAGUUGGUGUGUGUCACGUAAAAAAAAGAAUUAUCUCUUAUUUUCGAAAUGGUUCAAAAUAGGCCUACAAGAUGUUGCCUAUUUUUUUUACACUUUCUUUGGUAAACUUGUAAAUUUUACCUUGCACCUGUAAUCAAUUAAAGAUUUAAUUCGUUUUCUCAACUUUAGUUUGAUAAUUAAACACUCGCACAUGAAUUGGUUAUAUUUGUCCUGUUGUUUAUCAGUUAAACAAUUAAAAACUUAAUUGUAAUAUAUAAAAUGAUAGAGUGCUUUUCACAUAGCUUUCAAAUUCUACACAAAAAGUAUUUUCUAAUAUUAAAGAAUAUUGUGAAUUGGCAGUUGGCUAACGGUGCUUUGUAACCAACUUUAAAUAUGUAUUCAAAAGUAUUAAAUUGGUGCCUCCCCCUUCAACAAUAAAUUACAUUGACCCCAAACCCCAAAACUACUACUAUCUUCUCCUUUAAAGCGCCAUUAUUAAGAAGUUUUACAGAUUAAUUGAAGAGAUCUCGUUUCUCGAGCUUGUAGAAGUAUUUCUGUUAGAUCUAUAAAUAAAACAGGAAGUACAGGGUUUCCCUCGAAAAAUGACAGUAGCAAGACGAUUUGACAGUCGUCUUUGCUACUCUGUCAUGUCUCGUGGGACAUCCUGUAUUAUCUUAAAUGUAAAUUACUGAUGUGAUAGAUUAAUGAUGAUGAAUGUUUCCUGUUAUUAUACAGAAAUAAAGCAUAUAAAAGCUUCAA